rnacentral:rRNA from 1 species
UACGUAGGUGGCAAGCGUUGUCCGGAAUUAUUGGGCGUAAAGCGCGCGCAGGUGGUUUCUUAAGUCUGAUGUGAAAGCCCACGGCUCAACCGUGGAGGGUCAUUGGAAACUGGGGAACUUGAGUGCAGAAGAGGAAAGUGGAAUUCCAAGUGUAGCGGUGAAAUGCGUAGAGAUUUGGAGGAACACCAGUGGCGAAGGCGGGUUGCUAGGCUGACACUGACGCUGAAGCGCGAAAGCUAGGGUAGCAAACGGG